rnacentral:rRNA from 1 species
UCGCCCUACGGGACGCAGCAGUGGGGAAUAUUGGGCAAUGGGCGCAAGCCUGACCCAGCAACGCCGCGUGAAGGAAGAAGGCUUUCGGGUUGUAAACUUCUUUUCUCAGGGACGAAGCAAGUGACGGUACCUGAGGAAUAAGCCACGGCUAACUACGUGCCAGCAGCCGCGGUAAUACGUAGGUGGCAAGCGUUAUCCGGAUUUACUGGGUGUAAAGGGCGUGUAGGCGGGAAAGCAAGUCCGGAGUGAAAGCCCACGGCCCAACCGUGGGACUGCUCUGGAAACUGUGCGGCUUG